CCUGUAAGGAUGGAUUACUAUGGCAACAGGUUGCCACUGGCGACGAGAUAUUCUACUACAUCGCUUUGGUGGGAGUGAGUGAGGUGGACGACAAAAGCUCUGGGUGGAUGAGUAGGCAGAAAUAUUAACAGCUUGAAAGAAAGAGAUUGAAAAUGGAGAGCAGGGUAUGUUUAGAUAAAAUGCUUGUUAUUGUUUUUCUCGGAAAAUACUGAAAAAUAUGAGGCUAUUCAUAAAUGUAUUGCCUUUGGUGCGCGCGCUGACGGAAUUUCCCGCGCUCUUCUGAUACAACAGGAGCCACCAGUGCUUCAGUAUCUUCCCACUUCUGAAAGUGAUUAUCUAAGGAAGGCAGGAGGAGCAGUGACGAAAUGGAUGAGGGGUCCAGGAUGGCUGAGGGGAAGGCUGCCUUUGUCUUCGUCCUCCUUCUCUUCAUCGCCCUGGCUUUGCUCAUCGUGCGCUGCUUCCGCAUCCUGCUGGACCCAUACCGCAGCAUGCCCUCCUCCAACUGGACAGACCACACGGAGAAGGACACGUUUGACUACCGCAUUGUCUAAGGAGGACCUAAGGAGCUCCCUCGACACUGUAUUGCAGUGUUCUUCUCCGUGUGGAGAAGGAGCUCCCUUGACACUGAAGCACUGUCAAAUAUUGCAAUGCUCGAGGAGCAACUUUGUUUAUCCAUUUUGCCCAAGGACCACAUGCUGUAUGACUGCAGGUGCCAAACCACCAGGGACACCUUUGUAUUAGAGGCACCCUUCGAGCAUGCAUCACCUAAGACCUUUCUUUGUUUGCUCUAUUGUAACAUGUUAUAUCAAUUGCUUCACCAAUUACUGCAGACAUAAGCAGUAAUUGCCAGCCAUUAUUACCCUAAUGACAACACAUGCGAGUGAUUCCAUACGAAACCAGGACAAAAAAAAGGCCAUAAUUUUGCAGAUAAAAAAAUGAUUUUAUCCAUAGAAUGGUCCUUUGUAAGAAAUAUUGUUGACAUAUAUUUGACAUUUGUAUCUAAAAGCAUAAUUGAGAAAUUAUUUAUCAAAGUUGUCAUAUUCAUGACAUUUUGGCCUUUCCCAGGAGUCCUUAAAUUUGCAUGAUGUGCAAUGAUGCAAGUCAAAGGAGGGCUGUGAUUGGUUACAUUGCCUCCAAUUUCUCAAUAUAAAAUGGUCCAUAAAAUUAAAACUAGCAGAGAUCCCAUUAUGGAACUUUGAUAUGCCCCUAGAGUAUAUUAUGUUCGACAAUAUAUUGAAACAUUUGGUAAUUUUUUUCAAUAUUCAUGUUUGUAUUUUUAAAUAUUCAUAAAUGAAUGUACAAAAAUGUUAUUGAAAUCAUAAUACUACUCAUAUUACAGAGCAAGCGUUAAAGUUUCAUAUGACACCAUUUUGAACCUUUUAGCAUCUACAGAUGAAACAUUACAGAGUCUUAGGCUCAGUAUUUCUCAAUUGUGCUUUCCUCCAAAGGACCAUUCUAUGGAUUAAAUGUUGCGAAAAUCCCUAAAUCAUGGUAUUUUAUUUGUUCGGGUUUUGUAUGGAAUCACUUAUAAGGAACAUCUUCUACCAAAUGGCAUCAUCUAAGGUACCUGCUGUAAUACCUAUCAAAUCUAACUCCCAAAGACACACUCCAGGCUAACUCGUUGCCACUACUAUUGCAUAAUUUCACCACCCCAUCCCCUUAACCUUUUACUGCGAUGGGCUAAAUUAGGGUCACACAGAGUGUUUCUUGGUAGUCUUAAACAAAUCUACUUAGAAAAAAUGUAUACACCUCACGCACAUGGUUAUGGGUUUAAAAAAAAUAAGACAAUUUUACCAAGUCAGAUAUAGAGUUGAAAUGUAUUCAAUUUUAAGUUUGCAUCCCAAUAUUAAAUUUGAUAUACAUCACAGAAUACUGAAAUAUAACACAACCGUUUGACAUAGCAACACUGGAUGUUUAUUAAUUAUGAAAGUAUGAGAAAUAUUAAUAACAUUCCACCCAUGAGACCACUUUUGGUCAUUUGACUGCAGGAAAGGUCUACAGGUGCUCUAUGCAACAGUUCCUCCUGCAAAUAGGCCUACAUUUCAAUUGUGUACUUGUAGUAGUAAAGGAAUAAAACUCCAUGUAAGAACAAGAAAAACAUUUGAAUGCCGUUUGAAGCUAUAAAGUUGCUUGUUUGCGGCAAGGUCCUCAGUGUAUACACAGUGUAUCCUGUGGAAUCUUUUACUUCAAUUGUCCACUUUGGCCAAGGUACAAAAUGCACAAACAAUCAAUCAAGCAUUGCUGAAACAAAAAUACACUUACACAGAAAAAACAAAUGUAGUUACAUUUAUGCCAACCAGCGCCGUGUGCACUCACAAAGGCUCUCACCCUCAUUGAGCUGGUUAAUACUUUUUGAAAUUGGAAGACAGAUAUUUCCUUUAACAUCAGCCAGCCUAUAACAUACCAUUGAUAUCCAUAUCUUUGUCACCCAAGUUAUUUGUUUUCUUGCCAUCAUGGAAAGAGAGGUAGACAAUGUUUCAAAGUAUCCUUUAAAGAGACCUCAUUGUUUUUUGGGUGGCUUCGAUGUUUGAUGUCAGCAGUGGGAUAAGUGUUAACUAUUCAAUGUCUGCAAUCCAAAAAAUGACAAAUCACUAUUAAUGAAAAGGAUCCAGAGUCAUAAAUCUGAAUGACCAAAUAAGGUUGAUUGAAAUGUUUACUGUGCCAUAACUUGUGCCUAAUUAUGAACAUCUACGAAAGAUUCAUUCCAGUAGUUCUGUCGUAGAUAGCAUCUUGCUAUAGUUCUAUGUAAUAUCCUUAAAAUAAAGCAUAUCACUGCCCACAGAUGGCAUGUUAGCAGUGUGCUACAUCUGAACAGAUUAUCACACCUUGGUCUAUCCCUUUAUGGACAAUGUCUGUGGCUCUUUAUUUGGGCAACUCCUUAACUGUAUGCCUUAUAGAGUAGCAUGUUUACAGAUAGUCAAUAGAUGACAGAAAAAUAUGUUAUGCACUUCAAGCAGAUGUCAUACACCUACCAAAUGAGUGCUUUCAAACUUUGACAUGUCAUAUUCUUGUGAUAAACUGUGGCCUUUUCCUAUCACAAUGUAUCAGUUUAGUGGUACCGUUCUGUGCACAAGUGUCUUUGCAUGUUUUUGCAAAAUAUCCCCUCCAAGCAUGUUGAGUGCUUUACGCAUGUUGAUGCUGCUGUUAUUUAGUUGGUACAGUACAGUAUUCACUGUCAAUGUUUGAGCCUUCUUUUGAACAUGUAUUAUGCUUGCCUUGAGCCUCUUUCCUUUCAUAAUAAAAGUAAUUACGAUGCAUUACAUUUUUAGUUUUUAGUUUUAAGAAUCAAACAUCAGACAAAAAGUUAAGGGGAAAAAACAUAAUUAUUUUUUAUUAUGCCCUUUCCAAGCUCAUGAUACGGGUAAAAACGUUAACAUUUUCUCUUUAACACAUUCUCAGCUUGUGGCAGGGGUGGCUCGCAGCCGUCUGUAUCAUUUGUGUGAACCCAAGCGCUUUGUCUGGCUCUCAUCAGGCCAAUAGACACACCUGCUAUUGCUCCAGCCGCAGGCAAGGGCUGCUCUUUCGAGCGAGACGGAUCCAAUACCAUGCAGAAUAACAAUUCACUGUGACACACAAAUGGGGUGCCUUGAUAUAUAUAGUUAUCGUAAAGACAGACAGUGAUGGGGAACCUAUUUAAUAUUACAUCUAAAAACAUUUAUGUACAAUCAAUUUGUGAUAAAAAAUUAAACCGCUUGUGUGAAGCAAUAAGCAAUUGUUAUUGUGCCAUUUAGUACAAUGCUGUUACAUAUCUUUCAAAAAAGCUGUAGAGGUUUUCGGUAGUUCAUAUUAUCUACCUUACAUUUUUUCAAAAUAUAUUUUUGAUAAUGUCAA